rnacentral:rRNA from 1 species
GAUGAACGCUAGCUACAGGCUUAAUACAUGCAAGUCGAGGGACCGGCGCACGGGUGAGUAACACGUAUCCCACCUGCCCUUUACUCGGUGAUAGCCUUUCGAAAGAAAGAUUAAUACCCGAUGUAAAGGAUGGGGAUGCGUUCUAUUAGGUUGUUGGUGAGGUAACGGCUCACCAAGCCUUCGAUGGAUAGGGGUUCGGAGAGGCAGGUCCCCCAGAUUGGAACGGAGACACGGGCCAAACUGCUACGGGAGGCAGCAGUGAGGAAUAUUGGUCAAGGGGCGUUAGCCUGAACCAGCCAAGUAGCGUGAAGGAUGAAGGCUUAUGGGUCGUAAACUUCUUUUAUAUAAGAAUAUGUAUUAGAUGAAUAAGGAUCGGCUAACUCCGUGCCAGCAGCCGCGGUAAUAC